GGCCCCUCCCUGCCCCGGUGACAUCAGCCGGAGCUGUGCCUCUUUCCUUCAGGAGAGAGCACACGGUGGAUCCGCACAUAACACAUCCAGCACCGCUGGGAGAGCUCGACGGAAACAGCUCCUGCUCGGCUAUUAUUAUUGUUUUCGCUUUCUCCAUGGGACAAAACAAGACUUCUUUUCCGCCAGAUAAGCGUCCCCCACCUCUUCCCCGGGCGAACGUGCGUCUUCUGGUGUCGCUCAGUUCCAGCUGAUUACAACACGAGUUGUGACAGGGAGGGCUCGGCUGUAGUUGGCAUCAGACAGGCAGCUGGUACCCCCCACCACGCUCGUUCCAACCUCAGCCCAGGACCCCUCCGUCUGCAGCCAGCCAUUAUACCAGGCAUGAGUCAUCCUGGAGCUCGGUCUUUCCCCAACAGCCCCCAUCGCCCCCCUUCCUUCACGCUCUGCAUCCCCUCGAGCUCAGAGUGAGUGUUCAUUGUUUUCAGCGAGUCAUCUUUGCCUGUUAAGGAAGCUCACCUUUUAGGUUUUGCAUACAGUUUCACCGACACAUACUGAUUGUUCCGUGACAUGCUGUCAAAGUAAAUCUCCCAGGACAGAAA